rnacentral:tRNA from 1 species
GCCUCCAUGGCACAAUUGGUUAGCGCGUUCGGCUGUAAACCGAAAGGUUGGUGGUUCGAGCCCACCCUGGGGCG